rnacentral:rRNA from 1 species
UAGGGGUAUUGCCUUAGAACGGCGAGUGAAGCGGCAACAGCUCAAAUUUGAAAGCUGGCCCUUUUAGGGUCCGCAUUGUAAUUUGUAGAGGAUGAUUCGGCGAGGGCUCCUGCCUAAGUCCCCUGGAACGGGGCGUCAUAGAGGGUGAGAAUCCCGUAUGCGGUAGGUUGCCUUAGCCAUGUGAAUCUCCUUCGACGAGUCGAGUUGUUUGGGAAUGCAGCUCUAAAUGGGAGGUAAAUUUCUUCUAAAGCUAAAUACCGGCCAGAGACCGAUAGCGCACAAGUAGAGUGAUCGAAAGAUGAAAAGCACUUUGGAAAGAGAGUUAAAAAGUACGUGAAAUUGUUGAAAGGGAAGCGCUUGCAACCAGACUUGUCCGCAGUUGCUCAGCCGGUCUCCUGACCGGCGUACUCUUCUGCGGCCAGGCCAGCAUCAGUUCGGGCGGUCGGAUAAAGGCCUCGGGAAUGUGGCUCCUCUCGGGGAGUGUUAUAGCCCGGGGUGCAAUGCGGCCAGCCUGGACUGAGGAACUCGCUUCGGCAAGGAUGCUGGCGUAAUGGUUGUAAGCGGCCCGCUAAAAAAAAAAAAAACAAAAA